GAGAGGUGCUGCAUGGCUGUCGUCAGCUCGUGUUGUGAAAUGUUGGGUUAAGUCUCGCAACGAGCGCAACCCCUAUCGUCUGUUGCCAGCAUUAAGUUGGGCACUCCGACGAGACUGCCUGGGUUAACCAGGAGGAAGGUGGGGAUGACGUCAAGUCCUCAUGGCCCUUAUGUCUAGGGCUACACACGUAAUACAAUGGCGCGUACAAAGGGAAGCGAACUCGCAAGGGGGAGCAAAUCUCAAAAAGCGCGUCUCAGUUCGGAUUGAAGUCUGCAACUCGACUCCAUGAAGUUGGAAUCGCUAGUA
rnacentral:rRNA from 1 species